AUAUUGGUAGUUAUCCUACUAUCUAUUGCUAUGCAUCAGUCAAAUACCCGAGGCUUGCUCCCUUUUUUCCUACUUCUUAUCGGAUUGAAGACUUGCUUUCAAAGCAAAGGCCUAAAGGAGUCCUAAACCCGACCUGCUUAUAAAGGGGCCUUCCCUCUCGUUUUCUGUCUUCGAGUUUUCUUCCUUCCGGAUUCGGGCCUUGCUUUUCUUUGUUAGUGUAAUAAUUGGCUUUACCCUUCUUUCGAGUUUUAAGAAAGUUGCGCGAAGGACGUCUUCUUCUCUGCCCUCUCCUCUCCCCACGUGCGGAAGGAAUGCAAUCGCUUACGGUUAGAUGAAGAAAUGGGCAAGUUCUGAGCUUAACUUACUUAAGUGCGUCUAGGGUCAGGCGGUACUUAAGGGAAUCUAACUCUUCAAGGACUCUUAACUCCCGUUCCCUCUUAAGACAGAAAGAAAGAUCGGGCCGGGGACACCGGUAUACUGUACUAAUAUGAGUCAGGAAAGGAAGCGAGCUCGACUAUCGACUAUUAAGGAAAGGAAAGACUGCUAGCUUAGCUCACGCGAAGCUGAGGGUCCUUAAGGAGCGCCCUAAUCGAAAUCGAAUAAGGUAAGGAGAGAGGACAAGGGGGCUUACGUGAAGCGUGAGGAAGCUUGGCUCAUUAAAGAUUCGAAGGAGAGCACAGAAAUAGAAGUGCUUUUAUCGAUCGGCUUGAUUGAACGGCUGGCUUGAUUGAGUACCGUAACUACAAUACAAUAGCUUUCUUGAGCUUGAGUAGACCGUUCGCUUUAGGGAAAAAGAGCUCCCGGGGAUUGAAUCGCUUUUAUCCCCUAACAUAGUAAUGUGAGCUUGAUCAAAAUCCUUUCCUCCUUUAUAUUAGUAAGGCCUUUACUGGAAUACUGUGCUUGCUGCUUAUGGCUCACGAUCCCUUACCUCAGCCCUUUCCAGUCUCCUUGCUCUCAAUGCCCGAGAUGCCCCCUAUUUGAGUUUGAGUAAGGUGGUCUAUCAUAAAGCGAUAGGGUAGGGCGCCUUAUUGAAAACUAAAGUCAAGCAAAAUAAAGGGUUAGAUCCAGUACAGAUGUUGAA
rnacentral:lncRNA from 1 species